UACGAAGGGGGCUAGCGUUGUUCGGAAUUACUGGGCGUAAAGCGCACGUAGGCGGAUAUUUAAGCCAGGGGUGAAAUCCCAGAGCUCAACUCUGGAACUGCCUUUGAUACUGGGUAUCUUGAGUAUGGAAGAGGUAAGUGGAAUUCCGAGUGUAGAGGUGAAAUUCGUAGAUAUUCGGAGGAACACCAGUGGCGAAGGCGGCUUACUGGUCCAUUACUGACGCUGAGGUGCGAAAGCGUGGGGAGCAAACAGG
rnacentral:rRNA from 1 species